rnacentral:rRNA from 1 species
ACCCGCUGAACUUAAGCAUAUCAAUAAGCGGAGGAAAAGAAACCAACAGGGAUUGCCUUAGUAACGGCGAGUGAAGCGGCAAAAGCUCAAAUUUGAAAUCGGCCACCAGGUCGAGUUGUAAUUUGUAGAUUGUAUCUCGAGAGCGGAUUAAAGUCUGUUGGAACACAGCGCCUUAGAGGGUGACAGCCCCGUAAAAUCUAUUCUCAUUGUAAGAUACUUUCGAAGAGUCGAGUUGUUUGGGAAUGCAGCUCUAAGUGGGAGGUAAAUUCCUUCUAAAGCUAAAUAUUGACGAGAGACCGAUAGCGAACAAGUACUGUGAAGGAAAGAUGAAAAGCACUUUGAAAAGAGAGUGAAAAAGUACGUGAAAUUGUUAAAAGGGAAGGGUAUUGAAUCAGACUUGGUGCUGUUGUUCAACUGUGUUUCGGCACAGUGUACUCAGCAGUACUAGGCCAAGGUGGGGUGUUUGGGAGUGAAAAAGAAGUUGGAACGUAACUCUUCGGAGUGUUAUAGCCUACUUUCAUAGCUCCUCAGGCGCCUCAGGACUGCGCUUCGGCAAGGACCUUGGCAUAAUGAUUCUAUACCGCCCGUCUUGAAACACGGACCAAGGAG